AGAGAAUCACUUGAGCCCGGGAGGUGGAGAUUGCAGUGAACCAAGAUCAUGCCACUGCACUCCACCCUGGGUGACAGAU
rnacentral:snRNA from 1 species